AUUGAACGCUGGCGGCAGGCCUAACACAUGCAAGUCGAACGGAUCCUUCGGGAUUAGUGGCGGACGGGUGAGUAACACGUGGGAACGUGCCCUUUGGUUCGGAACAACUCAGGGAAACUUGAGCUAAUACCGGAUGUGCCCUUCGGGGGAAAGAUUUAUCGCCAUUGGAGCGGCCCGCGUCUGAUUAGUGAGUUGGUGAGGUAAAGGCUCACCAAGGCGACGAUCAGUAGCUGGUCUGAGAGGAUGAUCAGCCACAUUGGGACUGAGACACGGCCCAAACACCUCCGGGAGGCAGCAGUGGGGAAUCUUGCGCAAUGGACGAAAGCCUGACGCAGCCAUGCCGCGUGAAUGAUGAAGGUCUUAGGAUUGUAAAAUUCUUUCACCGGGGACGAUAAUGACGGUACCCGGAGAAGAAGCCCCGGCUAACUUCGUGCCAGCCGCCGCAGUAACAC
rnacentral:rRNA from 1 species